CAUAUUGAAAGUUGAAACCCUAGCUGUACUCGCCUACUCCGUCUCGAGUUCAGAGACUCUCCCCCAUCCUUGUCUCCUUCACGCUUCAGUUUCACCUUGCUACUCUCCCCCAUUCUUCGUGACGUCGUCCUUCCUGGCCUCUUGAAGAACCGAAUGGCUGAACCCUCCUUCCAAAACGGCAGCCAACCCCAGCUGUAUCUGUCACCUCGGUUCACCGCCAUGGCCCCACCGCAUGCUCACCUCCGUCGCCGCGCCUCACGCCGGAUCCACUAGCUCUCCUCCGCUCGCAUCUCGCGUCUCCGCCUCCGGCUGCCUGUGUCUCGCUCGCGUCUCGGUCUCUGUCUCGAGCUGAGCUUCCUGCAGCCUUGCGCUGUUCCCUGGAGUGCUCCACUGCCCCGCUGCUCCACUCUCUUCCCUGCCUACUUGCUGAACCAACAUAAAAAAUCUUCUCCUUAAUAAGAUCUCAAAAUAAAUGGGCGAUGCAGCGUGGCAACGUUAGGCAGCAGACACGACGAACCAUUUGGUGCUUUCUUAUUUCUAGGCUCUAAGCUCUCUCUUUUCCUCCCACUUUGAAGAAAACGAUCACAAA